UCAAAUGUAUUGAAUAUGACCGGAUGGGAUCGAGUAGUUUUCCAAGUUUUAUUCAAAAGCAUUCGAAAACUAUUAUCAAUGGUGUCGCCUUCACGGUGCAUAGUUGGUAAAUCACGACGCCGGAGCAAACCUUCCAUGCCGGGUACAUUCACAAUUGCUACGUCCAAAUCAUCUCCUAUAAUUAACAAAAUAUGGAUAUGAUCAAGAUCUAAUUUAUUUCUAAUUAAGGAAAAUAUACUUCCUUGCAUCUAUGAUAUAAGAUCAAUUCUUCAAAAUGUAAAAAGAUAUAUAUUAUUGUAAUAAUAUAUUAUAGAACAAAAGUUAACAUUAUUUUGAUCUUAUAUUUUGGAAUGAAAAAAUAUUCUUAUUACUAGAAAUUACAUAAAGGUCACAUCACAUGUUUGAUUCCAUAUAUAUUUAUAUAUUCAUGCAUGAACUUCAAGUUCGGUAUAUUUUUUGUCUAUAGUAUGAAACAUGUAUCGUAGAGUUGCAUAUGAUACCCUAGCCGUCUUUAUUGUACUGUAUUAAUACAAGAGUUUUUUUUGGUGCUAAAUCUAGAGUUUUUUACGCCACUAGUAGAGUUGCUGAAAAUAUUGUUCGGACAUGCAUCAACUGAUUGUGCAGUACAACCAAUGAUGCAUGUCCAAGAAAUCUGGACAUAAUAUUUUCAGGCAUCAAAGGUACGUAUUUGGUUAUUUUUAUAAUCUUCACAUAAGCUUAACCAAUUUUGAACUUAAUGAAAACUUGAUCCAUAUAGUUGAGCCAGUUAAGCUUUUAGUUUUUCAGAGAGCGCACCUUUGAAAGGAAGCUCAUCGGCAUCAACAAGUUCAGGAAUCCAAAAGUUGGCCCAAAAGCCACAAGCGCUCACGGUCCGAAAAUAGAUAACAGGAAUACGAAUUUC
rnacentral:lncRNA from 1 species